rnacentral:lncRNA from 1 species
UUUUAAUUGGAAAGCUUCAACACAGAAAUCUUGUUGGCCUUCUCGGCAGCUGCAUUGAAGAGGAUGAAAGAAUGCUGAUCUAUGAGUAUAUGCCCCACAAAAGCUUGGAUUACUUUAUCUUUGGUAGCACUUCUUAUCCUAACAUCAGUCACUUAGUAGUUACACAUAUGCUAUUAAUUAUCCAAUAUGAUUUUAUUUUUUUUAUGUCAAGGUAAAAAUUGUAAAUUAUACACAACGUCAAAUUCAAGAGUUACUAAAGUUCACUAUAACCUGCAGAUCGUGAGAGAAGCAAGCUAUUGCCAUGGAAAAAGCGCUUUUCCAUAAUCACUGGGAUUGCCAGAGGACUUCUCUACCUCCACCAAGAUUCAAAGCUUCAAGUAAUACAUAGGGAUCUAAAAGCUAGCAACAUUUUGCUUGAUAUAAACCUGAAUCCUAAAAUUUCAGACUUUGGUUUGGCAAGAAUUUUCGGAGGAGAUGACGAAGAAGCACAGACAGAGAGAGUUGCAGGAACACAGUAAGUUUUGUUCCUGUAAUAUUAAUUAUUUAGCAUUCGAAAUAAAUUAUAUAGUUCAUACUUUGAUGCAGUGGCUAUAUGUCCCCUGAGUAUGCCAACGAUGGCACAAUUUCAAUGAAAUCUGAUGUCUUUAGCCUGGGAGUGCUCCUGGUUGAGAUUGUAAGUGGUAAAAUGAAUAGAGGCUUUCGCCACCCUGGUCACCGUCACAAUCUUAUUGGACACGUAAGUAGAAAGAAUGAGUGCUGCUUCCUCCUUCAAACAGAACUCACUCUUUUAAGUAUAUAAAGCAUGAUUGCUGCAAUAUUUUCAGGCAUGGUUGCUGUGGAAUGAUGGAAGAGCCCUAGAACUAAUGGACAUAUGUUUAGAAGAUUCUUUCGUUGAAUCUCAAGUUCUGAGAUGUAUUCAAGUGGGUUUAUUGUGUGUCCAAAAGUUACCUGAAGACAGGCCUGAUAUGUCAUCUGUAGUUUUCCUGUUGGCGAACGAUGGGGUCACGUUGCCUCAGCCUAGACAACCAGGUUUCUUCACCGAAAGAGGUUUCACUGUAGGUGCAUUAUCAAGUCAUGAAAAAUGUCACUCAGAAAAUGCAUUAAGUAUAACCAUUCAGGAAGGCAGAUAGCACUCUACAGCCUGGUUAAAUUGCAGUCUUGCUUUCAGACAUGCUAAUACGUGUAAAUUUUUAUCACUUCAUAAAAUUUAAGGUCUUCCUUUUCAUUGAAAAGCCAUAAGAAGUAAUUAAUUGUUUCCAUAAAUGAACUGGUGAUCAGAUUCAUAACCAUUGCUAGGAUGUCAAAAUAUUCAUGUUUGGGAACUGUAGAAAUUUUUGUCAUUUCAUAAAAUUUAAGGUCUUGCUUUUCAUUGAAAAACUUUAAGAAGUAAUUAAUUGUUUCCAUAAAUGGACUGGUGAUCAUUAUUCACAACCAUUGUAUGAUUAGGAUGUCAAAAUAUUCAAGUUUUGGAACUGUAAAUUAUGUAAGCAAUUAGUUGGUCUUAGUAUCCUAAUGCAAAGUUUGUUGAAUUUGCAAUUCUAUUCCAUAUAAUAGAUCAACCAACUUGUACACAAAGACAAACUGAUAAAAUCAACAAUUUUUAAACAUUUCAUUGUGCCAAACUAUCAGGAUGACUCCAAGAUACCUGCCUGUUCUGGGAAGACCUUUUGUUCCUGUUUCAAGUGUGGCAGCAGCUAUUAUGGCUGAAAUCCACUGAGAGGAAUUUGCCAAUCAAUUUGACUCCAAGAUACCUGCCUGGGCAUUCAAAACCGAAGCUGUAAUCCACUCAUCUCAUGUGGCACCAACUAUGUGAUAAAUUAAAUAUCAUCUUCUCAAUGAGAGGAAUUUGCCAAUCAAUCGACCCAAUAGAUGCCUAAAUGUAUACGCAGCAAUACGGUAGAGAAUUAUCUUCUCUACGAAUUCAGGAAACUGCAAAAUUAUUUCUUUUCCGAUGUUUCAAAUGCAUUUCCAUUUUGUCUUUUAUGCCAAACUCUCAAAAUAUUUUGGUCAACAUAGUGGGGUUUAUAGUUCCUUCA